UGCGAUAAAGCCAAACUCAUUGCGAAGUGAGGACGGAAAGCCACGGGUCUUGCGAUCAAGAUAGCCGGGUUGCCUGGA
rnacentral:ncRNA from 1 species